GCCGCGGUAGCUCAGUGGUAAAGCACGCAUGUCUUAAGGUGACGAGCUUGACACUGUGGGUUCAGUCCCAGCCGCGGGGCG